AUCGCUUCUCGGCCUUUUGGCUCAGAUCAAGUGUAGUAUCUGUUCUUAUCAGUUUAAUAUCCGAUACGUCCCCCAUCGGGGGACUACAUAUUAAAUGGAUUUUUCGAACAGGGAGUCGGAAAUGGGGCUUGCUCCGUCCGGCUCCACGCAUCGACCCGGUAUUGCAGUACCUCCGGGAACGGUGCAACACUU
rnacentral:snRNA from 1 species